GACGAACGCUGGCGGCGUGCUUAACACAUGCAAGUCGAACGGAAAGGUCUCUUCGGAGACACUCGAGUGGCGAACGGGUGAGUAACACGUGGGUGAUCUGCCCUGCACUUCGGGAUAAGCCUGGGAAACUGGGUCUAAUACCGAAUAUGACCACGAGAUGCAUGUCUCGUGGUGGAAAGCUUUUGCGGUGUGGGAUGGGCCCGCGGCCUAUCAGCUUGUUGGUGGGGUCACGGCCUACCAAGGCUCCGACGGGUAGCCGGCCUGAGAGGGUGUCCGGCCACACUGGGACUGAGAUACGGCCCAGACUCCUACGGGAGGCAGCAGUGGGGAAUAUUGCACAAUGGGCGCAAGCCUGAUGCAGCGACGCCGCGUGGGGGAUGACGGCCUUCGGGUUGUAAACCUCUUUCACCAUCGACGAAGGUCCGGGGUUCUCGGAUUGACGGUAGGUGGAGAAGAAGCACCGGCCAACUACGUGCCAGCAGCCGCGGUAAGAC
rnacentral:rRNA from 1 species